rnacentral:rRNA from 1 species
ACGAAGGGGGCUAGCGUUGCUCGGAAUUACUGGGCGUAAAGGGAGCGUAGGCGGAUCGUUUAGUCAGGGGUGAAAUCCCGGGGCUCAACCUCGGAACUGCCUUUGAUACUGGCGAUCUUGAGUAUGGGAGAGGUGUGUGGAACUCCGAGUGUAGAGGUGAAAUUCGUAGAUAUUCGGAAGAACACCAGUGGCGAAGGCGACACACUGGCCCAUUACUGACGCUGAGGCUCGAAAGCGUGGGGAGCAAACAGG